rnacentral:rRNA from 1 species
GGCGUCAAGCUGCAAGCCCAGAGGAUUCAGCUGGCUAGGAUGUUGUGUAUGCGCCUGGCGCAUCUAUCAGCCGGAGUAAGAUGUGAUAGUCCACUGGUAAACGGUGGGCCCGGCCGCAAGGUUGGGAUAUGUGUACCGGGCGGAAGCCGGAGCAUGCUAUUCGUCUGUUGGGCUGUCUAGUCAGUGCACUUUCUCUGUGGUGAACACCACGACCGGUGGAAUUGCCAGUCUGCUGUAGUCAAGUCGUAUUCAGUCGGUUCUUGUAGUCAACUGGGUGCGAUCACAGGCAAACUCAGUAAACGGCGUAGGGGUGUCUCGGCAUCCUUACGUGUUAUCGGCUGCUGGUUGUCAACGGGCCUGCUUGAUGAUUGUUGUAACCGUCAUUAGGUGGUCUGGUGGGCUAUGGUGGUAAGAAUAACUGUGCAAGGCAUCGGAGUUCUCGGCCUCAAAUGCAUCCUGCAUACACGUUACAAGUGGAGUGGGGUGCCAUUGCAGCCUGCCUGUUGUUGGGUCUGAUUGUCGUGUCGCCUGCGCAAAGUGGGCCCGGCA